CAUUCAAACUACCACACAAGGGAUCCACACAGCUGACCAACCUGGCUAGCUAGAAGGUUGAAUCUGCAAGUUCUGGGUUCAAGUAAGAGACCCUGCCUCAAAAUAUAAGACCAAGACUGAAGCUGCCGAGACCCAGGAGACCCAGACUCAAAGGAACAAGGGUGGUGGCUCAUGCUUUUGAUGCCAGCAUGCAUGAGACAGAGGAAGACAGAUCUCCAAGACUGAGGCCAGCUGGGACUACAUAGAUAUUUCCAGGUGAUCUAAGCUACAUCGUGAGACUUACCCCGAGAAAGAAAGAAGAGAAAGAGAAACAAAGAAAGAAAGAAAAGAUGGAUACCAGCAGGAAGACAUUCAUCAAUUGCUGACAGUGAGCAAAUACCGAGGUUGAAGAACAAGGUCUUGAAGUAUGGCGAUAUGGCUAUGAUUUAAGCCAUGAACGGAGCAUGCCAAAGACCCCUGAAAACCUGCCUACAGUGCUAAGAAGA